CUGAGUGCCGGUCCCUCGUGGACCGAACCUCCCACCCUUGUCUCUUGUAUACCCUGUUGCUUUGGCGGGCCCACCGGGAAUCCCCCGGUCGCCGAGGGGCACUGCGCCCCUGGGCCCGUGCCCGCCAGAGCGCCCGUGAACCCUCAUGAAGAUGGACUGUCUGAGCAUGAUUGAUAAUAAUCA
rnacentral:misc_RNA from 1 species